CUGCACUUGAUACUAACCAAGCUGUCUAUAUCCUAGCCUUGUGUCAAAGGUUUGUGAUAUGCUGUGAUAGCUGGGUUUAAAAAGUGCAAUAUUAAAACAAAAGCCAUGAGCCUUUAAGCCCAGUGUGUAAAGGCACACUCUGAGUUAUAACUCAAAGGCACAACU
rnacentral:snoRNA from 1 species